UUGACCUCGGAUCAGGUAGGGAUACCCGCUGAACUUAAGCAUAUCAAUAAGCGGAGGAAAAGAAACCAACCGGGAUUGCCUCAGUAACGGCGAGUGAAGCGGCAAGAGCUCAAAUUUGAAAUCUGGCCCCCUCGGGGUCCGAGUUGUAAUUUGCAGAGGAUGCUUCGGGUGCGGCCCC
rnacentral:rRNA from 2 species